UACGUAGGUGGCAAGCGUUGUCCGGAUUUAUUGGGUUUAAAGGGUGCGUAGGCGGCUUUGUAAGUCAGUGGUGAAAUAUGGCAGCUUAACUGUCAGGGUGCCAUUGAUACUGCGGAGCUUGAGUACAGAUGAGGUAGGCGGAAUUGACGGUGUAGCGGUGAAAUGCUUAGAUAUCGUCAAGAACACCUAUAGCGAAGGCAGCUUACUAGGCUGUAACUGACGCUGAGGCACGAAAGUGUAGGGAUCAAACAGG
rnacentral:rRNA from 1 species